GGUGGCUCAGUGGUAGAGUGCUUGCCUUGCAUGCAUGAGACCCUGGGUUCAAAUCCUCAGCACCA
rnacentral:tRNA from 1 species